rnacentral:rRNA from 1 species
AGCGAACGCUGGCGGCAGGCUUAACACAUGCGAGUCGAGCGGGCACUUCGGUGUCAGCGGCAGACGGGUGAGUAACACGUGGGAACGUACCCUUUGGUUCGGAAUAACGCUGGGAAACUAGCGCUAAUACCGGAUACGCCCUUUUGGGGAAAGGCUUGCUGCCGAAGGAUCGGCCCGCGUCUGAUUAGCUAGUUGGUGGGGUAAUGGCCUACCAAGGCGACGAUCAGUAGCUGGUCUGAGAGGAUGAUCAGCCACACUGGGACUGAGGCACGGCCCAGACUCCUACGGGAGGCAGCAGUGGGGAAUAUUGGACAAUGGGCGCAAGCCUGAUCCAGCCAUGCCGCGUGAGUGAUGAAGGCCUUAGGGUUGUAAAGCUCUUUUGUCCGGGACGAUAAUGACGGUACCGGAAGAAUAAGCCCCGGCUAACUUCGUG